GCAAGUCGAACGCUUCUUUUCCCACCGGAGCUUGCUCCACCGGGAAAAGAGGAGUGGCGAACGGGUGAGUAACACGUGGGUAACCUGCCCAUCAGAAGGGGAUAACACUUGGAAACAGGUGCUAAUACCGUAUAACAAUCGAAACCGCAUGGUUUCGUUUUGAAAGGCGCUUUACGGUGCCGCUGAUGGAUGGACCCGCGGUGCAUUAGCUAGUUGGUGAGGUAACGGCUCACCAAGGCCACGAUGCAUAGCCGACCUGAGAGGGUGAUCGGCCACAUUGGGACUGAGACACGGCCCAAACUCCUACGGGAGGCAGCAGUAGGGAAUCUUCGGCAAUGGACGAAAGUCUGACCGAGCAACGCCGCGUGAGUGAAGAAGGUUUUCGGAUCGUAAAACUCUGUUGUUAGAGAAGAACAAGGGUGAGAGUAACUGUUCACCCCUUGACGGUAUCUAACCAGAAAGCCACGGCUAACUACGUGCCAGCAGCCGCGGUAAUACGUAGGUGGCAAGCGUUGUCCGGAUUUAUUGGGCGUAAAGCGAGCGCAGGCGGUUUCUUAAGUCUGAUGUGAAAGCCCCCGGCUCAACCGGGGAGGGUCAUUGGAAACUGGGAGACUUGAGUGCAGAAGAGGAGAGUGGAAUUCCAUGUGUAGCGGUGAAAUGCGUAGAUAUAUGGAGGAACACCAGUGGCGAAGGCGGCUCUCUGGUCUGUAACUGACGCUGAGGCUCGAAAGCGUGGGGAGCAAACAGGAUUAGAUACCCUGGUAGUCCACGCCGUAAACGAUGAGUGCUAAGUGUUGGAGGGUUUCCGCCCUUCAGUGCUGCAGCUAACGCAUUAAGCACUCCGCCUGGGGAGUACGACCGCAAGGUUGAAACUCAAAGGAAUUGACGGGGGCCCGCACAAGCGGUGGAGCAUGUGGUUUAAUUCGAAGCAACGCGAAGAACCUUACCAGGUCUUGACAUCCUUUGACCACUCUAGAGAUAGAGCUUCCCCUUCGGGGGCAAAGUGACAGGUGGUGCAUGGUUGUCGUCAGCUCGUGUCGUGAGAUGUUGGGUUAAGUCCCGCAACGAGCGCAACCCUUAUUGUUAGUUGCCAUCAUUUAGUUGGGCACUCUAGCAAGACUGCCGGUGACAAACCGGAGGAAGGUGGGGAUGACGUCAAAUCAUCAUGCCCCUUAUGACCUGGGCUACACACGUGCUACAAUGGGAAGUACAACGAGUCGCGAAGUCGCGAGGCUAAGCUAAUCUCUUAAAGCUUCUCUCAGUUCGGAUUGUAGGCUGCAACUCGCCUACAUGAAGCCGGAAUCGCUAGUAAUCGCGGAUCAGCACGCCGCGGUGAAUACGUUCCCGGGCCUUGUACACACCGCCCGUCACACCACGAGAGUUUGUAACACCCGAAGUCGGUGAGGUAACCUUUUGGAGCCAGC
rnacentral:rRNA from 1 species